AUGGUUUUGUUAAUUAAUCCUUUCUUAAAUUAAAAAAAAAAAAACUAAAGUGUAAACUCUUCAUAGAAAUGAUAAUACAUUAGAACGCCUCGUGCCAAACUCACAUAUGAUAGUUGUCUACAAAUAGAAAAAAAAAAAUUUGUAGUAUCUUUUUUUUUAUUUUUAUUUAUAAAAAAGAAACACUGACAAAAAAACAUAGGAUAAGAGGGGUACAACUCCAAAUAAAAAAUUUCUAAUCCACAAAUGUCAGCACAUAUACUCUGUACUUUUAAGAACUCUGGGUGAUAAUUUUAGAACAAUGCUAAUCACCAAGAUACUUCUUACCUAUAGAUUUCUAUAACUACAGAAGCCUAGAUUCUUCUCUACAAGUCAGAGAACUCAAGAUCUACAAAAGGAAGUUUUUACUUUGGUUUAAAGAUGGCCCUACCCAGGUGGGGUGAGUGUCCAGGUCCUGGUGGGGGUUGUAUUGUUAUGCUGAAAACUGAGAAAUGUUAUGCAUAUGCAAACUACUACAUUUACUGUCUACUCUAAAGCAUUAAUCCUCCAAUAAGGAAAUUAAAAAAAAAAAAGAUGGCCCCACCAAAAUUUGACUCAUAAUUUCAUGAUUACUCAGAUUUUUUUCUUUCUUUCUUUUAAAUUUUUGUUUUGUUUUUAUCUUUUAGCCACCAGGGUUAUUGAUGAGGCUUGGUGCCAGCACUACAAAUCCACCUCUCCCAGCUGCCUUUAUUUUAUUUAUUUUAUUUUAUUUUAUUUUAUUAUUUUACAGGACAUACAGAAAUAGCAAGGGAAAAGGAAGAGAAAAAAACAUCUACAGACGUUCUUCACCACUCAUGAAGUGUCUCUGCUACAGGUGGGGGGCAAGGGGCUUACACUUAGUACUAUGUGCACUUAACCGGGAGUGCCACUGCCCUGCCCAAUGCCCAGCUUUUCUAAAUAUCAAUUGCCUGAUUUUCAGCUAUAGGUAUAACAAUAACUACCUCAAACCUUUUGGCAUGCCUUCUAAUUUGAUUGCAAGUGGUAAAGCAUACAAAAAUCUCUGACUUACUGUGGAUUCUGAGGUUCCAGAUGCUGGCAUGAUGCCAACCAGACUUCCCUGGACAGACAACCCCACCAAUAUGUCCUGGAGCUCUGCUUCCCCAGAGGCCUUCCCUACUAGGGAAAGAAAGAUAGGCUGGAAGUAUGUAUCAACCUGUCAACGCCCAUGUUCAGGGGAAGUAAUUACAGAAGCAGACCUUCCACCUUCUGCAUCCCACAAUGACCUUGGGUCCAUAUUCCCAAAGGGUUAAAGAAUAGGAAAGCUAUCAGGGGAGAGGAUGGGAUACAGAGUUCUGGUGAUGGGAAUUGUGUGAAGUUGUACCCCUCUUAUCUUACGGGUUGGUCAGCGUUUUCUUUUUAUAAAUAGAAAAUUAAAUAAAAAAGAGAGUUCAUUUUGUUCUAAUGGAUGGAAAUUAAACGUUUGGUGGUUGUUGUGAUGAGUGUAUACAGAUGUCAAAUCAUACUGCUGCUCUCCUUAAACAUAAAUGUUACAUAAAUUUAAAAAUAUA